rnacentral:rRNA from 1 species
CCUACGGGUGGCUGCAGUGGGGAAUAUUGGACAAUGGGGGGAACCCUGAUCCAGCCAUGCCGCGUGUGUGAAGAAGGCCCUCGGGUUGUAAAGCACUUUCAGUGAGGAAGAACGCCUGGUGGUUAAUACCCAUCAGGAAAGACAUCACUCACAGAAGAAGCACCGGCUAACUCCGUGCCAGCAGCCGCGGUAAUACGGAGGGUGCGAGCGUUAAUCGGAAUUACUGGGCGUAAAGCGCGCGUAGGUGGCUUGAUAAGCCGGUUGUGAAAGCCCCGGGCUCAACCUGGGAACGGCAUCCGGAGCUGUCAAGCUAGAGUGCAGGAGAGGAAGGUAGAAUUCCCGGUGUAGCGGUGAAAUGCGUAGAGAGCGGGAGGAAUACCAGUGGCGAAGGCGGCCUUCUGGCCUGACACUGACACUGAGGUGCGAAAGCGUGGGUAGCAAACGGGAUUAGAUACCCCAGUAGUC